GUUUAUUCUUUAAAAUGAAAAAAAAAAAAUGUAUAUAUUGUGCUCCCCUUAAGUUGGAAGUAAAAAUAAAGAAAAUACCAUGUAAAAAUAAAAAUGGACUAUUCAGGAUAUUUUCAUGUGUCCAAGUUUUUAGUGCAGAAUGAAUGGCUGAUGCUGAAGCAAUUGUUUUACUAUCUUGGUGGAUCCAGAUCUGGCAAACUCAUUGAACCCCAUCCUUUAGUCUUCCAGCUGAUUCCAACAUAGUUAUUACAUAGUCCAAUGAGGACUGUAAAAUUUGUUGCUGCCGCCUUAAAUAUCUCAUAUGAUUUGGUAGCUUAAUUUAAACUAACCUAACCAAGUUGUCAACCAGAUGGCCAGUGGAAGCCCCCACUGCUUAAUGUACAUCAAGUAUAGAAAGCAAUGUAAAAAUCAUGACAGAAAAAACAUAAUCGUUUUUAGCAAAAAUAUGCAAUUACUUCUUAAUACCAUUUCCCAAAUAUUGGCUGAUUACUACAUAAUGGAAUCCACUCCAGGCCCAACUACAACAACUAUGGUAAGUCAGCAGGACUGUAUAAUAAGUGAAGCAACAUCUAGACUGGAUCCAUCAAAAAAUUUCUGAGGCAAGGAAUAUGAAUUCUAUCCUGGGCCAGGCCUAAGAUCAAAUUAAGAUCAAUUAAUUCAUUUAUCAUAUGUGAUUUCAUUGCAGACAUUUGAAGAAAUAUUUUUGAAUUG
rnacentral:lncRNA from 1 species